rnacentral:rRNA from 1 species
AUGCACGCUGGCGGCGUGCCUAAUCCAUGCAAGUCGCGCGAACAGACGAGGAGCUUGCUCCUCUGACGUUAGCGGCGGACGGGUGAGUAACACGUGGAUAACCUACCUAUAAGACUGGGAUAACUUCGGGAAACCGGAGCUAAUACCGGAUAAUAUAUUGAACCGCAUGGUUCAAUAGUGAAAGACGGUUUUGCUGUCACUUAUAGAUGGAUCCGCGCCGCAUUAGCUAGUUGGUAAGGUAACGGCUUACCAAGGCAACGAUGCGUAGCCGACCUGAGAGGGUGAUCGGCCACACUGGAACUGAGACACGGUCCAGACUCCUACGGGAGGCAGCAGUAGGGAAUCUUCCGCAAUGGGCGAAAGCUUGACGGAGCAACGCCGCGUGAGUGAUGAAGGUCUUCGGAUCGUAAAACUCUGUUAUUAGGGAAGAACAAAUGUGUAGGUAACUAUGCACGUCUUGACGGUACCUAAUCAGAAAGCCACGGCUAACUACGUG